GACGAACGCUGGCGGCGUGCUUAACACAUGCAAGUCGAACGUGAUUUUUGUGGAAAUUCUUUCGGGAAUGGAAAUGAAAUGAAAGUGGCGAACGGGUGAGUAACACGUGAGCAACCUACCUUACACAGGGGGAUAGCCGUUGGAAACGACGAUUGAUACCGCAUGAGACCACAGAAUCGCAUGAUAUAGGGGUCAAAGAUUUAUCGGUGUAAGAAGGGCUCGCGUCUGAUUAGCUAGUUGGAAGGGUAAAGGCCUACCAAGGCGACGAUCAGUAGCCGGUCUGAGAGGAUGAACGGCCACAUUGGAACUGAGACACGGUCCAAACUCCUACGGGAGGCAGCAGUGGGGAAUAUUGCACAAUGGGGGGAACCCUGAUGCAGCGACGCCGCGUGAGCGAAGAAGGUUUUCGAAUCGUAAAGCCCUGUCCUAUGAGAAGAUAAUGACGGUAUCAUAGGAGGAAGCCCCGGCUAAAUACGUG
rnacentral:rRNA from 1 species